ACAUGCAAGUCGAACGAUGAAACCUUAGCUUGCUAAGGUGGAUUAGUGGCGCACGGGUGAGUAAUAUAUAGAUAACGUGCCUCUUAGUCUGGGAUAGCCAUUGGAAACGAUGAUUAAUACCGGAUACUCCUUCUCAUUAUAAUUUGAGUUGGGAAAGUUUUUCGCUAAGAGAUCGGUCUAUAUCCCAUCAGCUUGUUGGUAGUGUAAGAGACUACCAAGGCAAUGACGGGUAGCGGGUUUGAGAGGAUGAUCCGCCACACUGGUACUGAGACACGGACCAGACUCCUACGGGAGGCAGCAGUGAGGAAUAUUGCACAAUGGAGGAAACUCUGAUGCAGCAACGCCGCGUGGAGGAUGACGCAUUUCGGUGUGUAAACUCCUUUUAUAGGUCAAGAAAAUGACGGUAGCCUAUGAAUAAGCACCGGCUAACUCCGUGCCAGCAGCCGCGGUAAUACGGAGGGUGCAAGCGUUAUUCGGAAUCACUGGGCGUAAAGGACACGUAGGCGGGAAGCCAAGUCUGAUGUGAAAUCCUAUGGCUUAACCAUAGAACUGCAUUGGAAACUGGUUACCUAGAGUAUGGGAGGGGGAGAUGGAAUUAGUGGUGUAGGGGUAAAAUCCGUAGAUAUCACUAGGAAUACCUAAAGCGAAGGCGAUCUCCUGGAACAUUACUGACGCUAAGGUGUGAAAGCGUGGGGAGCAAACGGGAUUAGAUACCCCGGUAGUCCACGCCCUAAACGAUGUUCACUAGUCGUCGGGAUGCUAGUCAUCUCGGUGAUGCACUUAACAGAUUAAGUGAACCGCCUGGGGAGUAC
rnacentral:rRNA from 1 species